GACGAACGCUGGCGGCGUGCUUAACACAUGCAAGUCGAACGGAAAGGCCCUGCUUUUGUGGGGUGCUCGAGUGGCGAACGGGUGAGUAACACGUGAGUAACCUGCCCUUGACUUUGGGAUAACCUCAGGAAACUGGGGCUAAUACCGGAUAGGAGCCCCUGCUGCAUGGUGGGGGUUGGAAAGUUUCGGCGGUUGGGGAUGGACUCGCGGCUUAUCAGCUUGUUGGUGGGGUAGUGGCUUACCAAGGCUUUGACGGGUAGCCGGCCUGAGAGGGUGACCGGCCACAUUGGGACUGAGAUACGGCCCAGACUCCCACGGGAGGCAGCAGUGGGGAAUAUUGCACAAUGGGCGGAAGCCUGAUGCAGCAACGCCGCGUGCGGGAUGACGGCCUUCGGGUUGUAAACCGCUUUCGCCUGUGACGAAGCGUGAGUGACGGUAAUGGGUAAAGAAGCACCGGCUAACUACGUG
rnacentral:rRNA from 1 species